rnacentral:lncRNA from 7 species
UCGCUAAGCAGGUAGUAGUGCAUAAGCAACAGAUGCUACCACAGAAUAUUCAAAUCUCACAACACCAGCAACUUGCAGGUUACUGUCCGUUUGGCGCAAUCAUCUCAUAUUCCACCCCAAUUAAGGAAGCAGUAUUAAUCACAAACAUAAGCGCUAGAUGUAGGAUUACGGAAAGCAACAAGAGCAUGGCUACAUCAAUCAGAAGAUUGGUAGUUUCAGAUUUCCUAGCGACAACGCUAAACAAGCUAGUAACAGAUUUCUCAGGCGCAUCCGUGUCUCCAGGUCAAUUUUACCCAACAAACUAGAACAGGCAACCCGCUGAGAACCUACGGGCUAAAUAGCACCAUGUUAUUCGCACACAAUCACACGUCCCACCCGCCGCAACCAGAAGAGCACCAAAAAAACAAUCACACCGCGUCCCUAAGAUCGCAUCGAGCUGUACCUCAUGCUUCCGCCUCGUGAACGGAGGUGCGCGUCGUGUGGUCUGCGUCGGGGAUUUAGGGAUUGGGGUUUAGACGUCUUGGGGGAAGACUGCCGAUGGGGAGAGGAUGCGGCCGCGGCCUGGGUGCGAAGUCAGCAGUCCCGUCAGCAGGAGGUAUAAAAAGACGAAGCGGCGGAGCGGGAGAGAAUGGAGGGCGACGGGGGCAAACUCGUCAAACUGCGGGAUUGCGCGAGUGCUGCUGGUGCUUCCAAAAGUCUCUAGAUGGUUCUAUUUC